AAUUUCACAGACGUUACAACAAACGUCGUUAACAAACGAUUGCGUGUGACUAAUUAAAUCACGUUUGAUGUUGAGCAAAUUGCUCGUAAUCGACUCUACGUUACGGGCUAAUGAAUUCUCGGAGUAAUUAUUCACGGCGUGGCAAAUAAUUCGGGGAAUUUGAGGGAUUCGAUUAGGCAAGAAAUUAGACUAUGUAUCACUGUGAUGUUUUAUUGUCUUUCUAGGAUGUGAGGAAAGGGAGGCUGGAUUUUAAGGAGUGUAAUUCUGUACUGUGACUGUAUAAUGUAACAAAAUGACUUGUAAUCGUGCUGUAAACUUUACAUUUUUAAAAUCGUGCGAAAAUAAGUACGUUCCAUAUCUGGAGUUGUUGAAAAGCGUUAGAAAGUAAUUUAAAUGCAGCACAAUCGCAAUAACUUAGAUUAAUCUAACACGGGGCAUUAUAUUUACAUAAUCCAACAAAACUUAGCGGUAAAUGACACACUCCAUAUCCUCUGAUGACGUCGUGGCCGAAGAUAUCCAAGCCAUAAACAGACAUUAUUAACUGUGGCCC